rnacentral:tRNA from 1 species
GGGCCCGUCGUCUAGACUGGUUCGGCCGCUGCCCUGACACGGCAGUAAUCCAGGGUUCAAAUCCCUGCGGGCCCA